rnacentral:misc_RNA from 1 species
CUGUUAACCAAUGGAAAUACCAAGAUCAAACAAUAUUUUCUUCAUGGGCUGAUUAAUCACUUUAUUUUGAUCGGAGUUUGUUUGAUUUGAUUUUCUCGAAAAUGGAUAGAGACAGACUUUGUGCCAGUCUUAUCACAUGGCUGAAGACUUUCAAUAUAGAUGGACCAUGCAACACAGCUGAUGAGCUUAGUAAUGGAAUAGCCAUGGCACAAGUACUUCAACAGAUAGCUCCAGAUUACUUCAGUGAUUCCUGGAUGUCUAAGAUGAAGAGAGAUGACACCCUAAACUGGAGGUUAAAGGUCAGCAACUUGAAGAAAAUAUUGAAAGGAAUACUGGAAUAUAAUCUUGAGGUGCUUGGUAUACAGAUUCAAGGUUUUCAGAUGCCUGAUAUAAAUGCUAUAGGUGAACACAACAAUGCAUCUGAGCUGGGGCGGUUACUGCAGCUAAUCCUGGGCUGCGCUGUCAACUGUGAGGAAAAGCACGAGUACAUCCAGCGUAUCAUGGCCAUGGAGGAGUCAGUGCAGCAGAUGAUCAUGAACGCUAUUCAGGAGUUGAUGACGAAAGAAAUUGCCUCUGCUGGUGACUCGGAGUCGGAAAUGGCAGAACAGCUGAAGAAGACAGUGGAAGAAUUGAACAGUGCCUUAGAAGCUAAAGAAGAACUCUUGCAGCGAUGUCACGAACUUGAUAUGCAGGUGGCUUCACUGUCAGAGGAGAAGUCAAUGUUCAGUGUGGAGAAUGAGAGACUUCUGGAGAGACUCCAUCAAGCUGAGAGUAUGGAUGAUCCAAGCACCCCAGCCGGCAAGCGGUACCAUCACCUGUCUAGUCAGAUAGAGAAACUCCAGGAGGAGGUGUACAAGAUGGAGACAGGCAAGGAUGAUUACAGAAUCAAAUUUGAAGUCGCUUCAAAAGAACUAACAGAACAGAAGGAAAAGAAUGCCGAGUUGUCAGCUCUAGCGGAUGAAGCCAGAUCAUUAAAAGAUGAACUGGAUAUCCUUAGACAUACAUCAGAACAAGUGGCCAAAUACGAAUCAACAAUUGAGUCCUAUAAAAAGAAAUUGGAGGACAUGAGUGACUUAAGAGGACAGAUAAAAAUGUUAGAAGAGAAAAAUACUAAAUAUAUGCAAGAACAUUUAGAGCUACAAGAGGAUGCACGUAAAGUGUCCUCCCUGAAGCAGCAGCUCGAGAUGUACAAGAUCCAGACCCACGAGCUGCAGAGCAAGCUGGCCGAUGAGAUCAAACGAGCUGACAAGGCGGAGUUCGAGUUCAAGAGGGUGCAGGAGAAGAUGGUGACAUUGCAGAGUGAGAGAGAUAGAAUAGCCACUGAGAGGGAUUCCUUGAAGGAGAUGAACGAGGAGCUGAAAUGUACAACCCAGUACCAGGUGCCGGACAUAGUGGCCGGGAAUAAUGAACUACCAGACUUGGCAUCAACACCUCAUCGCAUGGAAAUGCUUUCAAUACCUCCAGAAAUUAAGGAAAAGUUGUUACGCCUGGAGCAUGAGAACAAGAUGUUGACAAUGGGAUCUGCAGGGACCCAGGAUGAGCAGACGCAGUUGAUUCAGACGAUGCUGGACGAUGCUAAUGCCAGGAAGAAUGAGCUUGAGACUGAAGUCAGGAUAGGAAACCAGCGUAUCCUGGAGCUUGAGGCCCAGCUGGAGGACCUCCAGGACAACAAGCUGUCCAGUGUCUCCAACACAGAGGUCAUACAGCUGCACAAGAAGAUCAACGAGUUGGAGCAGAAGGUGGACAGUCAGACCACGGAGUUGGGCCAGCGGAACCGUGAGCUGGCCCAGCUGCAGGGACAGGUCAGCGCUGGCGCCGACAGGGUCCUCAGUCUUCAGGAACAACUCAACAAGAAAGACGAUGACAUGAAGACGAUGGAGGAACGAUACACCAGAUACCUCGAGAGGGCCAAACAGGUUGUGUCGGAGAUGAGCAGCAUGCAGAAGAUGGAUGGUGAUGCCCCAGAGCUUCAGUUACUGAGGAACCAGCUGAUAGAGAAGGAGAGGAUGAUAUCACAGAUGGAGAAGGAGAGUGAAAAGACAAGGAACAUCCGUGACCAGGAACAGAAACUGAUGGUCUCUGCUUGGUACAAUCUGGGUAUGCAAAUCCAGAGAAAAGAAGCGGAAGAGAGACUUGUCAACAGCUCCUUAGGUCAGUCAUUCCUUGCACGCCAGCGCCAGACUCGCACUCGUCAGGGCCAGCCACAAGUCACCAAUCGUCCCAAUUCUACAAGUGUCUCACUUGGCACUAGCAAUAACAUCCCGUCGUCAUGACAACAGUGACAUCGCUAUCAUGGGAUUGGUGCUUGACAGCGGCGGCAGUGCACACUAUUGCUGGCUGUGUUUCAUACACUCAUAUACUAUUCUGUAUCAGUGAGAUGCAGACUGUAUAAUAUGUAUCAUAUAGCAUACAACAUAUAUAUGUAUAGCAUGAGUAUAUGCAUUCGUAUACAGCAGAUAUUAAAGGGAGACAACUCUACCCAGAAAGUAUGAAUAUUGAUGGUAUCUUGAUUUUAAGUUGACUUUGAGCCCUUUGACACUUAGUCCAUGACAGAAUAUUGUGACAUUAAAUUCUCACAGACAUAAUAUGUUUAUUUCUAAAUGUGCCAGAUUCCAUUCACCAAAUGAGUGAGUGUGGUGCUGGCUCAGAGUUGGGUCUGAUGUGGCAACGACACUAACAAUCAGUUUAUAAAGCUUCUUGAAAAUGAAGAAUUUCAAUCAAUUUAUCCUCAAAUUAAGUGGCUUCAACAUGUCCCCUGCCAUGAUAUUGCUGGAAUAUUCUAAAAGCGACUAAAACCAAACUCACUUACAUGUAUUUUGAAAAAUGUUUUUCCAAUUCUUUUGACAUAUUUUAAUUAGGAAUUGCUAGGUUGAAAUACAUCACUCCUUUUCUGUGAGUAUUGAAAGAAAUAAGCUAUAUCACUGGGUUACAAUCCAGCAUAUCUGCUCCAUAUGAAUUCCUACACUCCUGUCAACCAUAAUGAUAAAAAGAUGUAUAUUGUUUAGUUAUGUGUCACUGAGUAACAUCACUCUAACUGCCUUAACAUCAUUCAACUAACAGCAGGCUAUGGGGGGCCUUACUCACAUCCUUUGUAUAUCAGUUACUUCAUUGUCAGCUCAUUCAUCAAUGUUACAUUUAAACAAACCUCAGAUUUUUCAUUAAAUGUGAACAUAUACGUUUUGAUUACCUUUUCAAAAUGAUUUAAAAAUUCAAAACUUUUGUGAUUAUGGUUAGUGGAUCAGGUGGAUUAGUUGUUGAUAUGAUGUUUGGUGAUGAAUGUUUAGUGAUGAAUGUUUGGUGAUGAAUGUUUGGUGAUGAAUGUUUAGAAUGUUUCAGAAAUUUAACUACAUAUGUUUGAGAUGAAGUUGUGUAAAAGUCACUGACGAUGCUAUUUCGGAAUGUUUGUUACAUGAAUAAUAAUUGUCAUGGCGCCAACCUCAAACAUUUUUUAUAAGAAUUAAAAGAAAAUUACUGUCUUGAAUAUUAUGACUUUUUUUAGUUUAAUUGCAUGGCAUUUCUUUGGUUUAUUAUGUGGGCUUGCUUUGUAGUUUUUGAAGAAUAUUUGCAUGCCAGUGAUUAAACACUUGUUUCAUUUCAUCUUUGAUAUGCUUUUGAUUUCAGAUAUUUUAAUGUGACCCAUUUGUUGUAUACACAAUUCAUCCUUGGCUUUAAGUGGUUAAUCUGCUCUAGAUAUUUGUAUUUUCAUGUGAUUUAUUUGCUUAUUUUGCAGUUUUGUGUCUAUAACAUCCUAUCAGGAUUAACUUGAAGAUGCCAACUUGCCAUGUGGAAGGAUAGCAUACUGACCAGUAGAACUGGCACAUGUAAUAUGUGUUUCUUUUUCGAAGAAGUCAUUAUUUUUAUAGAAAUUAAAACUUAACAUACUGAUAAACCACUGAAACCAAAAUUUUUGCAAACCAAGUGCAUGCGAACUCAGCGCUGUGUGACGCUGUUCUAUCAAUCACUGGUUUGUGUGGGCCAAACUUAGUCAUUUUUGGUAGUUUAAAUAUACCUGCAAUAUUUGCUGCUUGCAGUCUUACAUAAUGAAGUAUUCCUUUAAGCUCUAAACACCAGCAACUUGGCUCAUCUCAUGGGGAUUAUGACCCCCAUUGAGUUCUGUUUACACAUGUGUCGGUACUGAUCAUGGACACUUCAGCAAUAGACCGUAACCUGAAGUUCUACUAGUCACCAGGAUACAUAUCAAAAUAGAUGAACUGAUUCUAGCUGGCUUGUGCAAUUAUCUGUGGCUGUACAGUCACACACAUAUAUCUAAUUGGAAAGUGAAGUGUGGACGUUUGAUUGUAUAAGUAGCUAUCGAAAUACAGACAUUUAGCUCAAGGCAGACAUUUAUAUCAAGUUAUACAAAAUCUUCCAGGAUCAUAACUCAUGGUUUGGGUAUGGUGCUUAUUUGUUCAGAAAGUAUAUAUCUUGGUAAUGUGAUUUUAAAGAAUAUUUAUCAUGGAGACUCUGUUACAGUUCCAUAUAAAUUGUUAUAUUUAUAUGAUAACAUUUGUGUAUGCAUGCAUACUUACAGUGUAGAGAGGGACUGAAAACAUCUUAUAUUAUCAUGUUAUUCAAUAUCAGUGUCUUUCUUCCAAGUCUGUUAAAUCUUCUUCCUUUCACAUUUAAGCUGUAAGCAGCUUUUCAAACCUAAGGGAAAUAACUGUCAGUAGUUGACAUAUUUUCGACCCUUUUCACUCUUAUAUACUUCAUUUUCAGACUGACAUUCUGUUAUAAAAUCUUUGAUUUACUAAUACAAACAAAUGCUGGAAUAGAAAUGUUCCAAGGUGUACAUCCUCUUUACUGUACACAGGGUUAGAUUGUAAAAACUAGUGCUAUUUAUGCUAUUAAUGCUUGUAACCUUUGUACAUAUAUUCCAUUUAAAUACCUAAUGAAAUGUAUUCACGAAUCCUUGUAAAGUAAAUGAAAGCCAAACCUGACACAGAGGCCUCCACAUUUGAAGACCAGUGACUACAAGGUAAACAUCUUAAGAACAGAUUUCCUGAUUUAUGUCUCACAUAUAUUUCAAGAAUAUUUGUUGUGGAGAAGUCACUUUAUAUUAAUUAUUGGGAUGAUUUCUUCUCACGACAUAUUUUCCUUAUUAUGAAAACAAGCCAUAUAUGUCUGGUUUUCAAUCAAGGUAGAUGUCUGUAUUUUCAGUAUCUCAGGCGGUUGGGUAGCCUAGUGGUUAAAGCGUCCGUCUCACGCCAAAGACCCGGGUUCGAUUCCCCACAUGGGUACAAUGUGUGAAGCCCAUUGUUGGUGUUCCCCACCGUGAUAUUGCUGAAAUAUUGCUAAAAGCGGUGUAAAAGUAAACUCGCUCAGUAUCUCAGAGUGAACAGUCUGACUUAAACUGCUACGUGAUUGUUACAUGAAAUUCCAUUGGUUUUAAUAGACAACAUUUUAUGCAGUUGUAGACAUCACAUAGAGUCUGUUUCUCUAUUGAAGUACUUGAGAAGUACACUUGAAGAAGUUUUUUUCUUGAAAACAUGGAGAAAUAUGGAUUCCUCUUCCAUUAAAAUUGUGAAAGUUGUUGACAUAUACCUGUCUUGCAGCACCUUGCUACACUUUAUACUUACUGAUUCUUCAUUUUAUGUUGCCAUCUUUGUUGCUUUAUUGUAUAUUUUUUCGUUUCAACACUAGCAUUGUCAUAAAUUGUUUUCAUCAUCAUAAAGCAUAUCUUCUUGUGCAACCUUUUUUUAUUCAGCUUUAUUUUUGUAUUUUUGAGGGUGUGAAUCUUUGAUUUCCUCAGUGAACAUAUGAAUAAAUCUUACCUUGAAUGAACAUUUGUCACAUAGCUUCUAUGGAAAUACUGUCUAUGCAAGAAAUCAGACUGGACAUUUAUUCAACACUAGCUUUUUGUUUUGUGAAAAUGUGUAUAUUUUGUGUCUGUCUUCAUGAAGGAUUGAAUGUCUUGCUAUACUAGUUAUUUACACAGCCCAUUUUGAAGCAAGAGUAAAAAUAUCUUUUAAUAAGAUAAAAUAUGAUCAAGGUAGAUGUCCUUGCCAUCAGAAUGACAGUGAUGAUUGUUCUCUAGAAUGCAAGUCAAAAAGAUAUAAACCACAGAAAACAUUGCUUUGGCCAUCACUCUGGCCUUCUCCAAUGAUAUUUGUCUCUUGUUGAGGCAGACCAGCACUAGCAUAGUACUAUUCAAGAUUAUAUGAAACUGAUUGCAGAUGGAUGGUUUUACAAAUACUUUGAUUAUUAUAAAAAGAGUUUGUAGAUGGAAGUAUGGUACUUAAGUUUUGUUUUGAAUGCGACUUAGUCUGGCUUUUCUGAGCAGUUGUUCACAUGGGAUGCUGUUAUUAUGUCAUGACUUGGAGUUUCAUACACCCAUACCAUGGAAGGUCCUUUUUGUCAUAUAUGCAUUUAUAUGUAAAAUAUUUCUUGUACUGUACAUUAUGUGUAUAUAUAUUUAUCCAAUAAAUAUUUUGAUCAUAAAC